GGGCUGGUGGUGUAGUGGUAACGCAUGUCGUGGCGACGAUCUCUUCCACGACAAGUCCCAGGUUCGAUUCCUGGCCAGUCUG